AAUGAGGUGGCAGAGUGGAAUGCGGUCCGCUGUAAACGGAUGGUAUAAGAGUUCGAUUCUCUUUUUCAUUA
rnacentral:tRNA from 1 species